rnacentral:misc_RNA from 1 species
GGGAUACUGCCAUUGGAUCCGACUGAUAGUUGCAAAACAAAUUCCUAAUUCUUAGUGAGCUUCCUUGACUUGUUUACAAAUUAAUAAGGGCCUGUUCACUUGUAGAAAACUAGGGUAGUUUUUUGGAACAGUUUUCUAAGAAAACUAGAAAAAUAGAGUUUUGUGCACACAUGUGCCAAUUUUUCAAAUGCUAAUUUUCCAAUUUUCCAAAAUUUAC